UUUUCAGUUCCCAUGUCACAGUUGACAACAGAUACAGAGAUGGUAACAGUGAAAGAGCUUCCAGCUGAGAGUGAAACACUUGGUGUAGGAUCAGAUGAAGAGGGUCGGGGAAACAGCUGUUUUUCGGGAGAGAAGUCCAAGACGCGGUACCACGACGUCGUAGCAGAAGGAAGCUGUUUUAUGAAGAAAGCAUUACUAAAGAUGACGAUUUUAUUUAUUGCGCAGACUGUGAAGAAGAGAAAGAGGGAGAGUGUCCGUACCAUCCAUUGUUCCUUAUUCUAGAUAACCCCGUUGUUCGAGACGGCAGCGAGAAAGAUCGUGCUCGCCUCACAACCCCUUGGCCCCUCACUGUCUG